rnacentral:rRNA from 1 species
CCUACGGGAGGCAGCAGUGAGGAAUAUUGGUCAAUGGGCGAGAGCCUGAACCAGCCAAGUCGCGUGAAGGAUGACGGCCCUACGGGUUGUAAACUUCUUUUGUCAGGGAGCAAUUUGGUCCACGCGUGGGCUUAGCGAGAGUACCUGAAGAAAAAGCAUCGGCUAACUCCGUGCCAGCAGCCGCGGUAAUACGGAGGAUGCGAGCGUUAUCCGGAUUUAUUGGGUUUAAAGGGUGCGUAGGCGGAAUAUCAAGUCAGCGGUAAAAAUUCGGGGCUCAACCCCGUCGUGCCGUUGAAACUGAUGUUCUGGAGUGGGCGAGAGGUAUGCGGAAUGCGUGGUGUAGCGGUGAAAUGCAUAGAUAUCACGCAGAACUCCGAUUGCGAAGGCAGCAUACCGGCGCCCAACUGACGCUGAAGCACGAAAGCGUGGGUAUCGAACAGGAUUAGAUACCCCAGUAGUC